GUGACAAUAAAUACUGAUACAGGUGGCUUUUGCCUCUUGUAAUUGGAAUGAGUACAAUUUAAAUCUCUUAACGAGGAACAAUUGGAGGGCAAGUCUGGUGCCAGCAGCCGCGGUAAUUCCAGCUCCAAUAGCGUAUAUUAAAGUUGUUGCAGUUAAAAAGCUCGUAGUUGAACCUUGGGCCUGGCCUGCCGGUCUGCCUCACCGCAUGCACUGGUUUGGCUGGGUCUUUCCUUCUGGCAAACCGCAUGCCCUUCACUGGGUGUGUUUGGGGAACCAGGACUUUUACUUUGAAAAAAUUAGAGUGUUCAAAGCAGGCAUUAGCUCGAAUACAUUAGCAUGGAAUAAUAGAAUAGGACGUGUGGUUCUAUUUUGUUGGUUUUCUAGGACCACCGUAAUGAUUAAUAGGGAUAGUCGGGGG
rnacentral:rRNA from 1 species